rnacentral:sRNA from 2 species
AGGACAGGCCUUUCAGGCAUCCUCUCCCAAACUUUCCAGGGCUGCUCCUAACCGGGUGGCCCAUUUUUUUGCCUGCA